AUGCCUGACUUAAAAUCCCUGGCCUGGAAGAGACACCACUCUUGCUAUGUUAUUGGGAUGAAGGAAGGAUGGUCACAUGGAAAAUGGCGAGAAGUCUGCCUACCACUGUGGAAAUCUCAGCUUUCCUGGCACAUCUAGUAAAACUUUGAGGUCAUGUGGGAACAUGUUGAAGAGAUUUUUUUCUUUAUUAUUAAUUUAAUAAUCAAAAUAUGAAGGGGAAAUUUUGUGCUUAUAAAGAAAUUAACAGCAUAAUAGAAACAGAAAAAUAGACAAGGGGUGAAUGCCUGGUUGAAAGCCGCUUAAGGUAGUGAUUCUCAAACUUUAGUAGGAAUAAAACUUAACUGGGGUGCUUGUUAAAAAGGGAUUUCAGGAUCCUACCUCCCAGAGAAUCUGAUUCUGUUGAUCUAAAGUUCAGUUCGGAAAUCUGCAUUUUUCACAAACAUGUUAAGUGAUUUCACUUGAAGGUAAUACAAGAACCACACUUUGAGAAAAAACUGCUCUAGGGCAAUGGUUUAACAAAAAAGGUAGCCUGUAAGCUAUAAAAGAUUCAGAGGGAAGCCCCUUAUUCAAGAUAAAACUUGUCAGAGUUGGCUUCUAGAGUCUGGAUUGGAGUCCAGGGAAGCUCCACUUUUAAAGAUUUUCCCCACGUGAGUCUGGAGUACAUUGUGUUUAGAAACCACUGUCCUAAGUCUUAUGGCAUCCCCAUCUGUGAGACCAGGCCUUGGCAGUCCCAAAUUUUAAA
rnacentral:lncRNA from 1 species